GAUGAACGCUAGCGGGAGGCCUAACACAUGCAAGCCGAGCGGUAUUUGUUCUUCGGAACAGAGAGAGCGGCGCACGGGUGCGGAACACGUGUGCAACCUGCCUUUAUCUGGGGGAUAGCCUUUCGAAAGGAAGAUUAAUACCCCAUAAUAUAUUGAGUGGCAUCAUUUGAUAUUGAAAACUCCGGCGGAUAGAGAUGGGCACGCGUAAGAUUAGAUAGUUGGUGAGGUAACGGCUCACCAAGUCAAUGAUCUUUAGGGGGCCUGAGAGGGUGAUCCCCCACACUGGUACUGAGACACGGACCAGACUCCUACGGGAGGCAGCAGUGAGGAAUAUUGGACAAUGGGUUAGCGCCUGAUCCAGCCAUCCCGCGUGAAGGACGACGGCCCUAUGGGUUGUAAACUUCUUUUGGAUAGGGAUAAACCUACUCUCGUGAGAGUAGCUGAAGGUACUAUACGAAUAAGCACCGGCUAACUCCGUG
rnacentral:rRNA from 1 species